GGGUUGAUGGUCUAGGGGUAUGAUACUCCCUUCGCAUCUGAAUAUUCUCGUCAUUGCCUGGGAGGGGUCCGGGGUUCAAUUCCCCGUCAAUCCA
rnacentral:tRNA from 1 species